rnacentral:rRNA from 1 species
UCAAGCUACAAAGGGCGCAUGGUGAAUGCCUUGGCAUCAGGAGCCGAAGAAGGACGUGAUAAGCUGCGAUAAGCUUCGGGUAGGCGCAAAUAGCCUGAGAUCCGGAGAUUUCCGAAUGAGGGAACUCACAUGGGAAACCCCAUGUAUCCUUAAGUGAAUACAUAGCUUAAGGAGGGUAAACCCAGGGAACUGAAACAUCUAAGUACCUGGAGGAAGAGAAAGAAAAAUCGAUUCUCUGAGUAGCGGCGAGCGAAAGGGGAAGAGCCCAAACCAGAAACUUGUUUCUGGGGUUGCGGACAGAACAUUAAAUCGAAACAAUCAUUAACCGAACAAUACUGGAAAGUAUGACCGUAGAAGGUAAUAGUCCUGUAGGUAAAAGUGAGUGUAAGAGAGUUCUGAUCCAGAGUACCACGAGACACGUGAAACCUUGUGGGAAGCAGGGAGGACCACCUCCCAAGGCUAAAUACUACCUGAUGACCGAUAGUGAAGCAGUACCGUGAGGGAAAGGUGAAAAGAACCCCGGGAGGGGAGUGAAAUAGAACCUGAAACCGUGUGCCUACAACCGAUCAAAGCACCAUAUGAGUGUGAUGAUGUGCUUUUUGUAGAACGAGCCAACGAGUUACGGUAUGUAGCGAGGUUAAGUACUUAAGGUACGGAGCCGAAGGGAAACCGAGUCUGAAUAGGGCGACUAGUUGCAUGCUGUAGACCCGAAACCGGGUGUGACCUAUCCAUGGCCAGGUUGAAGCGAGAGUAAAAUCUCGUGGAGGACCGAACCACGUUGGUGUUGAAAAACCAUGGGAUGAGCUGUGGAUAGCGGAGAAAUUCCAAUCGAACUCGGAGAUAGCUGGUUCUCCUCGAAAUAGCUUUAGGGCUAGCGUCGGAUAUGAGUAAUGGAGGUAGAGCACUGAAUGGGCUAGGGGGCAUAGCGCUUACCGAACCUUAUCAAACUCCGAAUGCCAAUAUACUAUUAAGUCCGGCAGUCAGACUGCGAAUGAUAAGAUCCGUGGUCAAAAGGGAAACAGCCCAGAUCGUCAGCUAAGGUCCCAAAGUGUAAGUUAAGUGGAAAAGGAUGUGGGAUUUCUAAGACAACUAGGAUGUUGGCUUAGAAGCAGCCACUCAUUUAAAGAGUGCGUAAUAGCUCACUAGUCGAGAGAUCCUGCGCCCGAAAAUGUUCGGGGCUCAAAACUUACCACCGAAGCUACGGGCUUAAGUUAAACUUAAGCGGUAGAGGAGCGUCGUAAUCGGGCUGAAGUCGUACCGGAAGGAGCGGUGGACUGAUUACGAGUGAGAAUGUUUGGCAUUAGUAGCGAGAUGUGAGUGAGAAUCUCACAGGCCGAAAACCUAAGGUUUCCUCAGAGAAGGCUCGUCCGCUGAGGGUUAGUCGGGACCUAAGCCGAGGCCGAAAGGCGUAGGUGAUGGACAAUCGGUUGAUAUUCCGAUACCACUAUUAAUCGUUAAAACCGAAGGCGUAACGCAGGAGGAUAGGAUGUGCUAGCUAUUGGAUGCUAGUCUAAGCACUUAGGGAGUUCAGCAAGGCAAAUCCGGCUGAACAAUUCUGAGGUGUGAUGGGGAAGGAACUACGGUUCCGAAGUAUCUGAUUCCACGCUGCCAAGAAAAAGCGUCUAGGGAGAGAGGUAGUGCCCGUACCGCAAACCGACACAGGUAGGUGAGGAGAGAAUCCUAAGGCCGGCGGAAGAAUCACAGUUAAGGAACUCGGCAAAUUGACCCCGUAACUUAGGGAGAAGGGUGCCUACGCAAGUAGGCCGCAGAGAAUAGGCCCAAGCAACUGUUUAGCAAAAACACAGGUCUCUGCUAAAGCGAAAGCUGAUGUAUAGGGGCUGACGCCUGCCCGGUGCUGGAAGGUUAAGGGGAAUACUUAGCGCAAGCGAAGGUAUGAACUUAAGCCCCAGUAAACGGCGGCCGUAACUAUAACGGUCCUAAGGUAGCGAAAUUCCUUGUCAGGUAAGUUCUGACCCGCACGAAUGGCGUAAUGACUUGGGCACUGUCUCAACUGUGAAUCCGGCGAAGUUGUAGUACGAGUGAAGAUGCUCGUUACCCGCGAUUGGACGGAAAGACCCCGUAGAGCUUUACUGUAGCUUAGCAUUGAAUUUCGG